rnacentral:lncRNA from 1 species
UGGGAGACAUAACUAGUUAAAAGAUCUCAUCUAGUUAUGCAUAUCAAACAUGAGUGAUCUACUUAUACUAUUAUUCUUUAUUUAUGUAGAUUUAAAUUUAUAUUAUGGUUUUUUAUUUUCACUGCAUGAAAUCAUAAAUAAAAAUAUAUUGAUCGAUCCAAACUAUGUGGAUUGGUUGAGAAACUUGCAAAUUAGGUUCAU